CGGCACGGGUGAGUAACACGUAUGGAACCUGUCCUAUGCAGGGGGAUAAGCGGAAGAAAUUCCGUCUAAUACCGCAUAACACCUUUAGGAGACAUCUUCUUGGGGUCAAAGGAGGCGACUCCGGCAUAGGAUGGCCAUGCGUCGCAUUAGCUAGUCGGCGGGGUAACGGCCCACCGAGGCGACGAUGCGUAGGGGUUCUGAGAGGAAGGUCCCCCACACUGGUACUGAGACACGGACCAGACUCCUACGGGAGGCAGCAG
rnacentral:rRNA from 1 species